rnacentral:rRNA from 1 species
UGGGAAAUCUUGGACAAUGGGGGCAACCCUGAUCCAGCGAUGCCGCGUGAGCGAAGAAGGCCUUAGGGUUGUAAAGCUCUUUCGCCCGCGACGAUGAUGACGGUAGCGGGAGAAGAAGCCCCGGCUAACUCCGUGCCAGCAGCCGCGGUAAUACGGAGGGGGCUAGCGUUGUCCGGAAUUACUGGGCGUAAAGCGCGCGUAGGCGGUCCACCAAGUCGGGGGUGAAAGCCCGGGGCUCAACCCCGGAAUGUCCUCCGAGACUGUUGGACUGGAGUUCGGGAGAGGAGAGCGGAAUUCCCAGUGUAGAGGUGAAAUUCGUAGAUAUUGGGAAGAACACCGGUGGCGAAGGCGGCUCUCUGGCCCGCAACUGACGCUGAGGCGCGAAAGCGUGGGGAGCAAACA